rnacentral:rRNA from 1 species
AUGAACGCUGGCGGCGUGCCUCAUCCAUGCAAGUCGAGCGAACGGACGAGAAGCUUGCUUCUCUGAUGUUAGCGGCGGACGGGUGAGUAACACGUGGAUAACCUACCUAUAAGACUGGGAUAACUUCGGGAAACCGGAGCUAAUACCGGAUAAUAUUUUGAACCGCAUGGUUCAAAAGUGAAAGACGGUCUUGCUGUCACUUAUAGAUGGAUCCGCACUGCAUUAGCUAGUUGGUAAGGUAACGGCUUACCAAGGCAACGAUGCAUAGCCGACCUGAGAGGGUGAUCGGCCACACUGGAACUGAGACACGGUCCAGACUCCUACGGGAGGCAGCAGUAGGGAAUCUUCCGCAAUGGGCGAAAGCCUGACGGAGCAACGCCGCGUGAGUGAUGAAGGUCUUCGGAUCGUAAAACUCUGUUAUUAGGGAAGAACAUAUGUGUAAGUAACUGUGCACAUCUUGACGGUACCUAAUCAGAAAGCCACGGCUAACUACGUG